GAACUAUCUAACUGCCGCGUCAGUGACACCGUCUGGAGCUCCCUCCCGUUUACUGAAGCCUCGGCGGUUCAGCAGCGGAGCAACAUGACAGCCGAGCAGCUCCAGCAGCAGGGGGACCAGCGGCAGGUGAGGCGAACUCAGGCCGGUCAGGGAGCGUCUCUCCCCGACUCUUUCGGCUCGCCGUGAGCAUGUUACCCCUCCGACCUCCUCCUGGCCCCCGCCACAUCGACUGUCACCCGCCUGUAACAAGAUGUACUUCAACCGGAAAGGCAAGAAGAUCCACAGCGAGGGAGACAGGGGUGACAAAGUGCUUCACAAGAUAAUGCAAACUAAAGCAGAGCAGUUAGUGUUGACCGCCAUUAGGCAGGAGGCUUCUGAACUGCAGGACCCAGGCCAGGGCGCCAGCGCUACCAUGCGUGCUCGCCUCGCAGACAGGUUCGACAAAACCUCACCUCUCUCCCAUCAAUCCAACGGCGCAGGACCCUCCGGCUCGUCCGCCGGCUACCGAAAGGCGGACGACGAGAUGUCCGGGACCACUUCCCAGGCGGACCCGGUGGACGCUACGGCGCGAACGGUGGUCCUCAACCGGCCCCAAAACACCAAGUUCUGCGACAACCACGUGAGUACCACCAAGUAUGGGAUUUUCACCUUCCUGCCCCGGUUCCUGUAUGAGCAGAUCAGAAGGGCGGCUAACGCCUUCUUCCUGUUUAUCGCACUUAUGCAGCAAAUCCCUGAUGUAUCACCGACCGGACGCUACACCACUCUGGUGCCGCUCAUUUUCAUCCUCACUGUGGCGGGAAUUAAAGAAAUCAUAGAGGACUAUAAAAGACACAAAGCGGACAACACAGUGAACAAGAAGAAGACGACAGUGCUGCGGAACGGAGCUUGGCAGACGAUCAUCUGGAAGCAGGUGGCAGUAGGAGACCUAGUGAAGGUGACCAAUGGCCAGCAUCUUCCAGCUGACAUGGUUAUAUUGUCCUCCAGUGAGCCACAGGCCAUGUGCUACAUCGAGACGUCUAACCUGGAUGGAGAAACCAACCUAAAGAUCAGACAGGGUCUUUCCCUGACAGCCGGUUUUCAGACCCUGGAGGAUCUGAUGGCGCUGUCGGGUCAUUUGGAGUGCGAAGGCCCCAACAGACACCUGUACGACUUCACCGGCACCCUGCGCCUGCAGAACCAGAAUCCAGCUCCUCUGGGUCCAGACCAAGUGUUGCUCCGUGGAGCCCAACUCAGGAACACACAGUGGGUCGUGGGAAUCGUUGUCUAUACGGGCCACGACUCCAAAUUAAUGCAGAACUCCACCAAGGUGCCGUUGAAACGCUCCAACGUGGAACGGGUGACCAACAUGCAGAUCCUGGUCCUGUUCGGCAUCCUGCUGGUCAUGGCGCUCAUCAGCUCAGUGGGCGCCGCCAUCUGGAAUAAGAAGCACACGAAUGAAGCCUGCUGGUACCUGUCGCGGGCCGGUGACAUCUCCCUUAACUUUGCAUAUAACCUGCUGACGUUCAUCAUUCUCUACAACAACCUGAUCCCCAUCAGCCUGCUAGUUACUCUGGAGGUGGUGAAGUUCACACAGGCCCUCUUUAUUAACUGGGAUGUUGAGAUGUACUACUCAGAGACGGACACGCCGGCCAUGGCCCGAACAUCCAAUCUGAAUGAAGAACUGGGUCAGGUGAAAUACCUCUUUUCUGACAAAACAGGAACUCUCACCUGUAAUGUCAUGCAUUUUAAGAAGUGCACCAUUGCAGGAAUCACGUACGGCCACUUCCCCGAUCUUGACUGUGAUCGCUCAAUGGAGGACUUCAGCAACUUGCCGUCCAGCAGCAAUAGCUCUGCAGAGUUUGAUGACCCGAGUCUCAUUCAAAACAUCGAAAAGAAUCAUCCGACAUCACCUCAGAUCUGCGAGUUCCUGACCAUGAUGGCAGUGUGCCACACUGUUGUACCAGAGAGAGAGGACAACCAGAUCAUUUACCAGGCCUCCUCUCCGGACGAAGGAGCUCUGGUCAAAGCUGCCAAAGGACUGGGCUUCGUCUUCACAGCCAGGACCCCUCAUUCCGUCAUCAUCGAUGCUAGAGGAAAUGAGAUGACCUUUGAGCUGCUGAACGUUCUGGAGUUCUCCAGUAAUCGCAAGCGCAUGUCUGUGGUGGUGAGAACGCCCACUGGGAAGCUGCGGCUUUACUGCAAAGGAGCGGAUAAUGUCAUCUUCGAACGGCUAACGGAAGCGUCUCAGUACAAAGAUCUCACCAUCGCUCAUUUGGAGCAGUUUGCAACUGAAGGUCUAAGGACGCUCUGUUUUGCAUACGUGGACCUGGAAGAAGGCGUAUAUCAGGAGUGGUUGAAAGAAUACAACCGCGUCAGCACCGAACUCAAAGACCGCGCUCAGAAACUGGAGGAAUGCUAUGAACUACUGGAAAAGAACUUAAUGCUGCUUGGAGCCACAGCCAUAGAGGACCGUCUGCAGGCCGGCGUCCCAGACACAAUCGCCACGUUGAUGAGGGCCGGCAUCAAGAUCUGGGUACUUACUGGAGACAAGCAAGAGACCGCCAUUAAUAUAGGUUACUCCUGUCGCCUGGUGACACACGGCAUGUCCCUCAUCAUUGUCAACGAGGACUCUCUCGAUGCCACUCGUGCCACCCUCACCGCUCACUGUUCCUCCCUGGGUGACUCUCUGGGAAAAGAAAAUGAGCUUGCCCUGAUCAUGGAUGGCCAAACUCUUAAAUAUGCCCUGUCAUUCGAGCUCCGCCAGGCCUUUCUCGACUUGGCUCUGUCCUGCAAAGCUGUAAUCUGUUGCCGAGUAUCUCCCCUGCAGAAGUCAGAGAUUGUGGACAUGGUGAAAAAGCACGUAAAAGCCAUCACUCUGGCAAUAGGCGACGGUGCAAACGAUGUGGGCAUGAUCCAGACGGCUCACGUUGGAGUGGGAAUCAGCGGCAACGAGGGCAUGCAGGCCACCAACUCCUCUGACUACUCCAUCGCACAGUUCUGCUAUCUGGAGAAGCUCCUGUUGGUCCACGGGGCAUGGAGCUACAAUCGCGUCACAAAAUGCAUCCUCUACUGUUUCUAUAAGAAUGUGGUGCUCUACAUUAUAGAGCUCUGGUUUGCCUUUGUGAACGGCUUCUCAGGUCAGAUCCUGUUUGAGCGCUGGUGUAUAGGCCUCUACAACGUGAUAUUCACUGCGCUGCCCCCGUUUACUCUGGGGAUCUUUGAUCGGCCAUGCAGUCAGCAGAACAUGCUCCGCUUCCCGCAGCUCUACAGAAUAACCCAGAAUGCUGAGGGCUUUAACACCAAGGUGUUUUGGGGACACUGUAUCAAUGCACUCAUUCAUUCAAUCAUCCUCUUCUGGUUCCCAUUAAAAAUGUUAGAGCACGAUUCUCCAUUCAGUAACGGUCAGGGAAACGACUACCUGUUUGCAGGAAACAUGGUCUACACGUAUGUGGUCGUUACAGUUUGUCUAAAAGCUGGAAUGGAGACCACCGCUUGGACCAGGUUUUCCCACCUAGCAGUUUGGGGAAGCAUGGCGCUCUGGAUGGUCUUCUUCGUCGUGUACUCUGUGUUCUGGCCCACCAUCCCAAUUGCCCCAGACAUGCUGGGCCAGGCUGGUAAAGUGAUGCAGUGCUGGUACUUCUGGCUGGGCCUGGUCCUAGUACCCACCGCCUGUUUACUGAAAGAUUUCGCUUGGGCAGCCACACGACGCACUUUAAGGAAGUCCCUGCUGGAGGAGGUGCAGGAACUGGAGGCGCGGGCUGUUGACCCGGGAGCUGCGGUGCUCAGGGACUCCAGCGGCCGCAGGUGGACCAAUUUGAACUGCUGUACAGACCUGUCUAAACGAACGAGCCCAUCUGCUGACAAGAGUAUUUAGGAAAACCCCUUCAAGUGUUGGAAGAUCCAACUCGGUGCAGCAGACCGUGUCACAUGGUUAUGCCUUCUCUCAGGAGGAGCAUGGCGUGGUUUCCCAGUCCCAGGUAGUCCGCUCCUACGACACCACCCGCCAGCGCCCCAGCCUCUAGCCACCCCCACCCAACCGAUCGACGCUUUGGCUCUACGUAGCAAUCGUUGUCAUGAGGACAGCGAAAUCAACUGGAGAGCCACCCUCUAACACUUUAGUGACAGGCCUCUGCAGUGGCCUUACCAGAACAAUGACGUGACCUUCUGUCACCUGGGGUGGGGUCCGUGUCUGGUGUCAGGAUGACUGGAUCGGAUAAAGGGACCAGGCUAAUUAAUGAACAAACUCUUGGGGAAAGAAAAAAAAGCUCCGCAGGCAUGAGCGAACCAUAUCCCAGACAUGCCAAGUCGAACUCUAAGACUGUUGCUCGUACCUGUAUACACCUCAGACCGCUUCACGCUGCUGUGUCGAAAUGUGUGUGUGUGCGCCUGUUUCAGUUCGUCGGCGUUAAGCUGUGCAUGUGUGUCUGCGCACCCCGUGUGCAUGCGUCGUCUCCGUGUGUUCGCCUCCAUGGUUGCAGCUCAUCUCCAGCGAUGGAGGGAUUGGCACACCUGUGGUCACGCAGCGCUGCACAGACGGAUGUGAACAAUAGUGGAUCACAGGUUAAAUUCCUCAUAAAGGAGCGAAGGGAGCUCCGCUCCCAGUUUCGGCUCCAAGGCAGCGCCAGGCUUCACUGCCAAACACCACAGUGACGCCGCUGAGGCACAACGCUCCACCUUAAACCGGGCCUAGUCCCUGCUGCAGCCUCUCUGAGACCUCCUCUUGUUUAUUUCUUCAUAUUUUUUUUCCCCUCACUCUUAUCUCUACAUCUCCUUGCACUUCUACAGCCUCCGUGUUCCUUUUCCUCUGGACAGUUCUUAGUUCUGUUUAUCCUCCUUUAACGCCAUCAGCUGAUGUAGGAGCAGCAUGUCUGUUUUUAACGCCUGACCUUAGGUUUCUGUUUGGAUAAAUGAUUUUAACUGAACAUUU